GUGAAUUUAUGUCUUUAUUUAUAAUAAUUAGAUUAUAAAAAUCAUAUAAACAAAAUAUAUUUUGUUUAUAUAUUUAACUUUAUUUUAUGAAUAAAUUAUUUGUGGUUUUACCUAAUAGAAUAACUAGUCUUACGUAUUUCAUAUUACUUUUAUUACUAUAAAUUACAUGAAAUAUAAAAUAAAAUAUUAUGUAAUAAAAGUAAUAUAUUGUUUUAUUUACAUUAUUUAUUUUCUUAUAUAAUUUACAUAUUUUUUAUUAAACGAAUACAGAAUCUUUAUGUAAAUUAUGUAUAUUCAUAAAAAUAAAAUAUUGAAAAAUAUAAGUCACUUAUGACAAAGUGUGUAUGUAUAUGUACAAUUUAUAAUCAUUUUAUAUUAAAUUAAGAAAAGAAAUGAUAGAUCGCUUCUUUUAGUUGCACAUAAUAAUGUAAUGAAUAAAUAUAACAAAUCGUAAAUUAAAUCGAGUAGUAAGAAGAAGAUUAUUUGACACGAAUGGAAUUUUUAGUAAUUAUUUUUUCAUUCGUUUGAUAUUUUUUAUCGUGCUUUUCUGAAGAUUUUGAACUGAUUAAAAUUAUGCAAUUUUACUGCAAUUAAAUUCUAUGCUAACUAAAUAACACGUAUUUUUUAAUCACUGUACAAGAGUAAUAUUAACACAAAACAAAGAUAAAAACACGCAAUUACUGUAGAAGAUUACAGGAAAUAUAAUCAUACAAAUAUACUUCUCUGAUGGUAGAUAAAUACUUUAAUUGUAUUGUACAAGUAUAAAUACGUAAACUUCUAGGUUACAAGAGUUUUUUUCCAAUUUAAAUCUCAGGAUGAAGUUGUUCAAAAUGCACUUGUUUCUUUGUAUAUUACUUUUCAUUGCGGUAAGACUUUAAUAAUAUUUCCAUACUGUAUUGCCAUUCAAUAUCAUAAAUGACUAUAGUACUGAGAGAAGAAUUGAAAUACUCUUAGAUAACUAGAACAAUUUAUAUAAGAGCAAAAGAAACUUAUUUUUAUUGCAUCGUGUAUGCAUAUAAAUUUAUAAAAUUAAAAACUAAAAUUGGCGCUGUAAUUUAUAUGAGUAUGCUGUUGUAGUUUUGAUAAUUAUUAUAUUAAUUCCCGAGAAAUUACAAAUAUGAUAAUAAUAUAUCGAAAUGUAGUUGUUUAAGUAUUUUAUUCUACUGUUGUUUACGUCCCUUUUAUAUAUCAUCACUCUAUCAAAAAUUUCACCGGAACGAUUUCUAUUAUUACAUAGUGUUUUAUACUAUACAGUGGAUAUUAUUUUGUAUUAUUUUUGCAUAAAAUCAUGUUCUUUGAUGAACUGAAAUUUGCAUUACUAUUGUUUUUUAUUGCAAAAUAUACUGUGGUUAGUUUUUAGGUUCCUCUAUGAAGGUAAUUAAGGUAAUAAAUUUAUAUCGUUUUACGGUUUUGCUUCGUUCCUAAAACAGUUUAUCUGUAAUCUUGAGGGCGUUUCAUUAUCAUUGGUGUAAUAUUUUACUGAUACAUUCAUCAAAUGAUUACCAAGUAUAUUAACCAAUAACUUUAUAAUACUUCAUAAUAAAAAUCUAAAUUUUAUAAUUUCUAUUGCAAAUAACCCUCUUGUUAUUCAUUCCGUUAAUAAUUUUGUAUAUCUUAAAAUCAUGUGAUUAUGUAAUAUAAAUAGAUAUUAACGCUUUUUUAAGUAAGAUUAUAUGCGUAUAUUUUAAUACAUUAAUCGAUGCAACCCAUAAUAUUUUCUAAGCAAAUAUUGUAUUAUUUAUGUCAAAAAUUGUAAUUGUAAUUGUGUAUUGUAAUUUUAGUAGUGCGUUGUGUAGCAUAAACCUUUUUUAUUGAUAGGAAUCCGGAAUUUCUAUGAAUGUUCGAUCUCACUUUGCUUCCCAUCAUGAUGGUAAAGUUGGUUGUCGACGGUUAAAUUUUGGAAAUGGUGGUAGACAAAGCACCACCACCAGUACCACUCAACAACCUUAAUGCAGAAAAACUGAGAUAGAUGGAAUAGAAGAAAAAAUAAAUAACAAGAUUAAAUCAAUAAAAUAUUGUAAAAGAAUCAUAUUUUUUUGUUGAAAGUAAUAUAUAUAUAAUUAUAUAUAUAUUGUUGUUUUUAACACGUAAUGAAACAAAAAUAAAAAGAAAUAGAACAUUUUCUUGUAGAUAAAUUGAACUUACGAUAAAUGUUAUGGUUUUAUUAUUUGUAUACCUCAAUGACAGUUUUUUAAUUAUAUUUUUCUUAUAUUAUUAACAUGAUUAUUUAUUAAUAUAUCAAAUAUACUAUAUGUAUAAAACAUUACUUAUUUUUUUAUCUUAUAUAUUAAAAAUGUAUAAAGGUACUAUAUAUAAGUAGAGAAGAAAUUUCCUCUUUAAUACAAGUAUAUCAAAUUAUACAUAUAUAGUUAUAUGUGUAGAAAAUGUAUUAAGGAAAUCAAUGUUUUAUCUUCAAAAGAGAAAAAAAAUGAUUAUGGAUAAGUACAUGCAAAUAUAAUACAUUUAUGUAGCUACAAUACGUGUGUAAUAAUACAACAUUAUUAAUAUUAUAUCAAACAUACAUAUACACAUACAAAGAUGACAAUAUAAUUUAAAUGAGGUCAAACAACUAUAACACAUUUCCUUUUUAAUUUGAUUUAAUAUCAUUGGCAGUGAGAUUGAAGUUGUACUUAUAAACUAUGAAUAUUUUCCUUGUUCAACUGACAUACCACGUAAUUAAGAUAUUUUUCCAGUACUAGCAUACAUGUUCAUUUAUGCUUUAAAAUCUAUAAAUGUAUUUAAUCAUUUUAUGAUUAUAUGGGCAUUACCAAAUAUUUAAUAUAUAUGUAUUAUAUAUAUAUAUAUAUAUAUAUAUAUAUAUAUAUAUAUAUAUAUAUAUAUAUAUAUAUAUAUGUAAUAUAUAUAUAUAUAUAAUAUAAUAAAAACGAAUAAUUGUAGGUUUGUGUAAAUAGCAAUUGUAAUUUGUAUAAAUAUUUGUACAUUUUCCAUUAUUAUUAAUUUCAAAGGGAAGUUCCUCUUCUUUAGAUAAUUUGGUUUAUAAUGUAUUCCUAUACUUAUUUUUACAAAAUAUCUAUAUGCAAAUUUAUCCAAAGAAAAUUAUUCUAUUACAAGCAACAUAAACUGUUACAUUUAAAGCAGUUUGUAGUAUACAGAACAUUGCUUUUAGAAUUAUAUCUUUAAAUCAAUUUUCUUCAAUCUAUAGUAACAUUUAUUAAUAUUAUAUGUAAUUUAUUUACAUUUUUUGAUAUGGUUUAUGCACAAUUAUUAUUGAACAUUAGAUUGCAUCAAACUUAUCUAGUUUAAACAAAAAUUAUUGUUUAUCUAAUGUUCCUAACAACAAUGUUCAUUGCCAUAAAUUUUAAUGAAAUGUAAUAUUUGAAUUGUCAAAAGAUACCAAUUAUCACUUAUCCAUUACAGCUGAUUUUUUUCUAUCACAGUAUUUUGUAUAAUUUUUAGUUCAUUGAUUGAUGUAUAAGGUUAAAACAAUAUAAAAAUGAUUUAAAUCUUAAUAUAAUAUUUUAAAAAAUUUAAGUCUAAUAAGUUUAGCAGGAAAAUUAAAGAUAAUUUGACUUGCUGAGAACAGCAAGAAAGAAAUAUAUAUUUAAUUCUAAAUUGAAAUUUCUUAUAAUAUACAAAGUGAAUAAAAAUAAAACUAAUAAUUGAAAUAAUAAUUAUAAGUAUAGAAGUGCAUUUUUUAUACUUUUCUUCAUAAGGUUUUACAUUACUCUAACAUGUAUUUUACAAAAUAUCAUAAAGUAAAUAUACCUUACAAAAUAAAUAACAUAUAUGAAAAUUUUUCAGACUAAAGAAGGCAAUAUUUAUUAUACAUUCAUUUAAAAUAUAAAUGAAUUUAAUAUACUAAGCACUUUUUAAAAAUCUUAUCUAUUGCACAUAUAUGACUUAUUUUUUUAAUAAAUGAGUUAGGUCUUUAUUUUGUUUCUGAAGCAUAAUAU